AACGAACGCUGGCGGCAUGCCUAACACAUGCAAGUCGAACGAGACCUUCGGGUCUAGUGGCGCACGGGUGCGUAACGCGUGGGAAUCUGCCCUUGGGUUCGGAAUAACAGUUAGAAAUGACUGCUAAUACCGGAUAAUGUCUUCGGACCAAAGAUUUAUCGCCCAGGGAUGAGCCCGCGUAGGAUUAGCUAGUUGGUGAGGUAAAGGCUCACCAAGGCGACGAUCCUUAGCUGGUCUGAGAGGAUGAUCAGCCACACUGGGACUGAGACACGGCCCAGACUCCUACGGGAGGCAGC
rnacentral:rRNA from 1 species